GCUUUUGAAUAGAGAAGCGUGUGCAAUUGAAGGUAAUGACAGUGACUAAGAAAGUUGAUGAGUCCCUUUUUUAAUUACACUGGAGAAUGACCCAUCAGCAAGUUUGAUACCACCAGGGAUAGGAAUAUAUGAAAUAAACUCAUCUUUCUUACUAGUCAUAUGAUCUGAGGCCCCUAAAGGGUGCGGAGGAAUGAGAGUGGAAUUAAGAGGCAUAAUUUUCUGAAGUAGAUGUACCUGGCUACUAUUUUGUAGUUGUGAAUUGAACCAAUGCUAUAAGAGCAACCACUUGUUUUUGGAGAUCAUUGAUGACUUGGUCUCUUGGGUCUAUGGUCUACCAUAGUGAUGCUGGGAGGAAAAUUGGUAGGAUUAUUCUUCCCUUCAAUAUGAGCAGAAUUUGCAGCAGCAGUUUCAUGGCUUGGAUGAAGAUGGAGAUUUAAAUCUCAAUAUUGCUCCUUAAGAAAUCUGCAUUUUCUGCAGUGAGUGAGUUGGAGUUUAUCUUUAUUCUUAGAAGAACAUGGUAGAUGGCUCUGUCCCUUUCCAGAUCCACUCACUGUAAAUGUCCUAGAGUUUGUUGCUAUAAUCAUGGUUAGCAGAACUCCUUUCUAAACUUGUAACUUUGAGAAAUACUUGUAUAAUUGCUUUUAUGUUUAAAAGUUUGUAUAUUUUAGAAGAUCUAUUUCUUUUUUUCCUGUGAAAACUGAACAAUACUCAUUUUCCAGGAAAAAAAAAAAAAAGAGAAAAAAGUAGAAAUGUGUAUUGAUGUUUUGAUGAGCUUCCUCCACAUGAUUUUUUGAGAUAUGAUCCAUCCACUUGAUUGCCUAUCAAGUCAACUGUCCUGGUAACAGGACACUUCAGCCUAAUACAAGUCAGGCUCAAUAAAAUGGGCAUACAUGUACUGAUCCAAACUCAAACCAUGGGGGCCCAUCUUUAGACGGGGCAGGGCCUCAAAUUAAGAUUGUUUGGGAAAUUAUGCCAAAGUGCUUCAUUGUUGUAUGAAUCAUCAAGUAUCCAGUGCUAGGUGCUAAUAUCUUAUUUAUGUCAAGUACGUAAGGCACAUAUGUAUGAGAUCCAAACCGUUCAUCUAUUAUACCUAACUGUGGAUACUUCAUAUGUCCGAAAUCAUAAAAACCAAAUGAUCCAGAGCCAUGCCACUAUUUUAUAGGCUUUUCUUUUUUUGCUUUUUUUUUUUUUUUGUUGAAUGUGAGUUCUUUAUGAAUUGUUCCUAUUCUAAGGCGCCCAUGGAUGACUUGUUUCCUAAAAGUUUUUCCAACCACAUGAUUUAGGGACAGCUUAGAUAGAAAUUUCAGUAAAAAAAAAAAAAAAUGUGAAAAUGUGCUGGGCCUUGCAAUGCUAGCUUGGCUUCUAUUUUAAAUGCAGAUUUUGUAGAUUUCUGAAAUCACGCCUUGCUUUAUCUAAUUGGUAACCUUCAAACAGAUAGUGAAAAGGAAUAUUUCACACCUAAUUCAAUGGGAGAAUAUUACCAGAACCUACCAAUUUCUGUAGUGAAAUUCCAACAAAUAUACAUUCUAGGAUCUUUUUUCUGUCAUGUUUUAUAUUACAUUCUUGAGAAGAGAAUCUUUUGAUAUUACAUUCUUCAACUCCAGUUGUGUGCCAUGCAAUUUUGAUUGGAUUAAAUCAUGGAAUCCAGUUGAUCAGCCAAGCAUAAGGAAAAGAAUCCUAAAAUGGGUUUUUGGAAAAAUUGAAAUCAGAGAUUCACCAGCUAAAAAUAAGUAAAAUUAACUGAAUUUCUAGAGUUUAAAAAGGUAUACGGAAAAUUAAACAAUAUUUUUGUGAAUUCAAAAUCCUCAUGUUUGAAGUAACCUUCGAUUCAAGCAUGGCUUAAACUGAAAUUCCUUCAAUGCAAAAGAAAAGAAGAAGAAGAAGAAGAAACUUUCUCUACAUUCCUUCCUGAUUCAUUAAUGGUAAGCUUCAAGAAACACAGUUGCUAGCUAACUGAGCUCUUGUGAACUUUUUUAGGGUCAAUGUGUUGAACCACAAAAAUUAAGAGUGGGUCACUUUUUUUUUUUUUUUGGGUGUCAUAUGGGUGGAUCAGUUAGCAAUAAAAAGUGUGCAUCAAUUGAAUUAAUAAAGACAUCAAAGAUGAGAUUAAAGCAGACCAUGUUACUUGUUCCACAUGAUUCUUAGAACUCACAAUGAUUAUGGAAUGGAAGAAAUAACAAACCUGGGAUAUUGCAUGUUCUUGGUGGUGCCUCCAUCUGUAAAAUAAUUCAUUGCGGUCUGUUCUGUUGCGGGAUAUCCCUUUGUAGCCUUGCACCUGUCUUGCUCCCCGGUACAUCAUGUGCGUUUUGAACUUAUUCUUAUAUUGCCUGUGUUAAUGAUGAGACUGUUUUAAUUUUCUCAAAUCACAUGAGUUUCAUUAAGUCAUGCCAUUGUUAUUUACAAUCACCUUUCUCCUUUGUUUCCUAGGCAUUAUUCUUCUUGAUUGAUAAGCUUGGUUAUGUAGGGUAGAGGUUUCGAAUACCUACCAAAGGGUAGUGCUAAUGUGUAUUAUGGUUGGAUUAUAGUAUGUCCCAUGUUUGAGGGGGAUCGGAAUUGUGCAGUGGCAUAAGAAUCUUGUGUUGCAGUUGUUUCUAUCACCCACCUUUCAAAGAGCUAGAAAAAAAAUAAAA